CAUGACUUAUGCUCCAUUGUAAGUUACAAAACAUGUUUUUUUAUACAUUUAAGUUGUCCUAUUAACAGGUAUAUAACUUGUACUAUUUAAAAGUUUGCAGUAACACUACCUGCUGUGGACUGUUAAAAUAAGCUGUAUACAUAGGCUGAAUUUUUCCUGCGGAUAAAGUCCAGGAUGAGAUUCGCCGUUGCAAUUUUUCUGUUUUUGCUUCUGACGACCCGCAAUGCUGAUUCGCAAAUGGCUCCGAAACCCGAGAAACCUGCAGACUCCGCUUCCGUAAGCACGUGCUGCUCGAUGGGGAAGCGGUAUAUGGGCCCAGAUUGCGGUCGGAGAGCUGCCAGGAUUCCCGAACCCUGCAGAACCGACUUCCAUCAGUGCUGCAUGCAAUACAGGGGGAUUAACCUGCUUGGGGACGUGUACUUAAAAUAAUAGGAUGCGGUUUACAUGACGACCAGGACAUAGCACAAGACGACCCGUCACAGAAGUUAUGAGUAACCCAGCGGUAUGGAUUUAAAUACGUCAGGAAAGUUUUUAAAGUAAAUUAGCUCUCAAUGACAGACAAAAGCGAUAUCACAAAAUGAUGAAAUGAUUUGACAGCAGCUAUUUGUGUAACCUUUACAGAAAAGUGAGACUUUUUGUUUGUGAGUAAAGCAAGAAUAACAUGCGACAUUUUUGCAGUGUUAAGUAAAUUACCUGUAAAGGCGGCGGAAGAAGAAAAAGAAAGUGAUUCACUCUAACCGAAAGAAAUUCAAAUUCUGAUCUUGGAAAUGCGUUUAAAUACACCUAGUUGAAGAGAUAGAGACGGGAGUGACAUUUGCUAUCAAAAAGAAUCUCAGUAAAAUACGCUAUAUUGGUCAGUGUACGUAGUCGAAAACUGUU